UGAUACUUGGACAUCUUAGCAUAUAAUUGUGGCUCCUGAAGAACUUUAAAAAACAACUUCUAAAUGCACAAGAUGAGUUUCCAUAUUAGGGCUAUAGAUAAAUAUAUCUUCAAAAAACACUAACACAAACUUCCUCAGAAAAUGCUGAUGGAAAUGAUUCAUUGACCCUUGAAAUGUUGCCGGGGCAUUAAUUAAUCGAAAGGGUAUCAUUGUGAACUCAUAAUGCCCAUGAUUUGUUUUGAA
rnacentral:misc_RNA from 1 species